AUCAUUGCACAAUAACUAAUAAAAGGUUUAAAUCCUAGUGAUUCAGAAGCCAAAAAUUGGACUAUUGCCCUGUGGAUUCUCAUUUUAUGAAAGCAAGAAUGAAAGAAACAUAAGAUAUAAAUUUUCAUAUGCAGAUUUUCCCUCCUUAGAAAUUAUAUGUUGAAAUGAACCUGCCCCUAAGGGUUGCCAAGAAGAGUAAAUGAAUAAGCAUUUAUUCUGGUGCCUGGCACAUAGGCUGUUCUUCAAAAUGUUAGCUGUUCCAGCUGUUAAAAUGAUUGUGCCUGCUUGCUAGAUGAACGAACUGAGGCACAGAGAGACUAAAUUAUUGUUCCCACGUUGCCCAGAAUAGAUGUUUGAAAAAAUGUCAUUUGUGAAGAAGGAAAAGAAAAUCACUAAAAUGUGGAUUUCCACUCUCACUCCCAAAUAUAAGCUCUUGGAGCUACUGUUAAUGCUCUCUUGAAUGGAUAUUUCUCUAUUAAAUACACACACACGCACACACAUGCACAUGCAUACGUACUCUCCACCUUUGCCGUUCACGUGACAUUUUAUUCACACCAAUUCUCCAACUUGUAUUUUGAUUAUCUUUGCUUCAUAGCCAUGGCUUUGAGGUAAUUAUUUCACAUUUUUAAUGUACAUCAGAAGUGGCAAUUGCACGAGUUUAGCAGUAGGAUUUUUGAGAGCAAUACAGAAAGGGCUAAUUUGCUAACAGUUAGGAGACAGAGC